UAAAAGAGAUAUAUCAUCAUUUUCACAAUUUCACAGUAUUAUUCCAACCUCAUAGUGUGGAAAUGUAUAUCAAACACUGGAAAAUCCUAUUUAUAACUGCUUUAAUACCCCAAAUGUGAUUUGUUAGGUGCAUUCAGGAGAAAGGGCCACACUGCAAUGAGUCUGUGUAGUUCCAGUCAGAGCCAUGUAUUUAGAAUACAAUUCUAAAUAUAUGGCUCUGUUUCCAGUCAUUUAGGCCUUGGUUGCCGUGGAUACAACAACAAACCCUUUUGUAAACUCCACUGCCAAACAGCCACCACAUCUACUGGUCAAACAGAGCUGGACAGCCAAGAUUAACCCACAUUUGUAAGCAAGGCUGGGGAUACAAGCUACCCCUUCUAAGUCCCUACUGUUAGGUGUUUAUAAGAUUUUGUGUUUUUUGCCGUGUGAGAUGUAGUUGUUGUAGACGAAGCAGAGAUGCCUAUAUCUUCUGGAGCUGAGGGUAGAGUAGAUGUGGGGAUAGAUACAUCCAUAGCAUGGACGCCAGAUGGGGUGAAAAAAGAGGCAAAACUGGUCAAGAACUGUGAUUCCUAUCUAAGAAGGUAUCUGGAAAGCCAGGCAGGGAAGAAAAAACACAAUAGCACCAUUUUGGGGGAUGCCAGUCAACAUCUUGCUGGUCCAGAUGGAGAAAACAUGGACACUUUCUCACCCGGUGUGAGCAUAGAUCCUAACACACAACAGAAGAAGGGAACCAGUGAUGAAGGCAAAACCUCAGGAAAACAAACCAACGAAAAGAGCUUGAAGAAAUCCCAAACGUGUACACUUCUGUAGAGACACAACACUACGAAUGGACUGCACACUUGUUGCUUUGAUGCCCAACACCAUAAUGCAUUACUUAGUGCCAUAUAAUCCCAUUGUAUUGAGUCUUUAUGAUCACCCCAAGUUCUCUUCCUUGCCUGUUACUGUGAUGAAUCAUAGAAAUGGGGAGAGGGAGAAUAUAUUUGAUUUGGGAAUGACUGUAACUGCAAUCUAUGCCUAUCACUUUGCCUAUUGAACAAUUGCCUACUGUUAUUAAUUGUACUGUUUGGCUCCCUUUCAUAACCUAUGUUGAAUAAUGUCACAGUACUGUAUGUAAAACACUUCAAAGCAUCAA